rnacentral:misc_RNA from 1 species
GAUGAAGAACGCAGCGAAAUGCGAUAAGUAGUGUGAAUUGCAGAAUUCAGUGAAUCAUCGAAUCUUUGAACGCACAUUGCGCCCCUUGGUAUUCCAUGGGGCAUGCCUGUUCGAGCGUCAUUUGUACCUUCAAGCUUUGCUUGGUGUUGGGUGUUUGUCUCGCCUUUGCGUGUAGACUCGCCUUAAAAUAAUUGGCAGCCGGCGUAUUGAUUUCGGAGCGCAGUACAUCUCGCGCUUUGCGCUCAUAACGACAGCGUCCAAAAGUACAUUUUACACUCUUGACCUCGGAUCAGGUAGGGAUACCCGCUGAACUUAAGCAUAUCAAUAAGCGGAGGA